rnacentral:rRNA from 1 species
UACGAGGGGUGCAAGCGUUGCUCGGAAUUAUUGGGCGUAAAGGGUAGGUAGGUGGUCUUAUUUGUCUGGGGUGAAAGCCUUGAGCUCAACUCAAGAAGUGCCCCAGAAACGGUAAGACUAGAGUCCUGGAGAGGGUCGUGGAAUUCCCGGUGUAGCGGUGAAAUGCGCAGAUAUCAGGAGGAACACCGGUGGCGAAGGCGGGUCUCUGGGCCGUAACUGACGCUGAGGAGCGAAAGCGUGGGGAGCGAACAGG